CCUACGUGAGGCUGCAGUGGGGAAUAUUGGGCAAUGGGCGCAAGCCUGACCCAGCAACGCCGCGUGAAGGAAGAAGGCCCUCGGGUUGUAAACUUCUUUUGUCAGGGACGAAGCAAGUGACGGUACCUGACGAAUAAGCCACGGCUAACUACGUGCCAGCAGCCGCGGUAAUACGUAGGUGGCAAGCGUUAUCCGGAUUUACUGGGUGUAAAGGGCGUGUAGGCGGGGAAGCAAGUCAGAUGUGAAAUUCCAGGGCUCAACCCUGGAACUGCAUUUGAAACUGUUUUUCUUGAGUGAUGGAGAGGCAGGCGGAAGGCCGGGUGUAGCGGUGAAAUGCGUAGAUAUACGGCGGAACACCAGUGGCGAAGGCGGCCUGCUGGACAUUAACUGACGCUGAGGCGCGAAAGCGUGGGGAGCAAACAGGAUUAGAUACCCUUGUAGUC
rnacentral:rRNA from 1 species